AAUUGAUCCGGCUAUUGCUUAGAAACAUCUUCUAUGGUUCUUUAAUGAUUGUCUAAGCAAUAAAUCAUCAUCAAUCUUGGUAUUCUUGCUCCGGACGGAGUGUGCUCGUGGAUUCGAGUGGGCGUCAUGGAUUCGGCGUGAUCAAGGCUUCGUGGAUUCGAAGUGUGGACGUUUCGUGGAUUCGGGACGUGGCGUUCGUGGAUUCGGACGUGGGGCGUGGACAACCCGUUGGUGUGCGCGAGAUCCGGAGAAGAUAAAAGAGAGGUUUGAGUCCGUGGAAUCGGUAAAUCACCUUGUAAUCUUUUAUUCUUAGUGAAUUGUUAUUGCGUGUUGGUCCCGUGGUUUUUUACUCCUAGUUGGAGUUUUCCACGUAAAUCUCGAUGUGAUUUUUAUUUUUUCGCAUUUACUGUUAUCGCAUUGAGCUUUGUGGUUUUCGGCUUUACACCUAUUCACCCCCCUCUAGGUGUUAGAUACAAUCUAGAUCGAUCCCUGGGCUACCCCAAAACUUACAAUUGGUAUCAGAGCGGGAUCUAGAUAAAUUGUUGUCUAAUGGCCGAAGGUGAAAACAUUAAUCAACCACCGCUCUUCGAUGGCACAAACUAUGCCUAUUGGAAAGUUCACAUGAGAGCUUUUCUAAUUGCAAUCGAUGAGCGCGUUUGGCAAUCAAUAAAAUUUGGAUGGAAACAUCCUAUUGAAAAGGUCGAGAAUGUUGAAACGCCAAAACCACGAAACAAGUGGACAAAAGAUGAAAACAAGGCAUCUUCGUUUAACGGCAAAGGCAUAAACGCUUUAUUUAAUGCAUUGUCUCAAACGGAGUUUACUCGAGUUUCAGCGUGUGGAACCGCCAUAGAAAUUUGGGAUACUCUACAAGUUAUGCAUGAAGGAACGAGCUUAGUAAAGGUCUAAAAUUUGCAAAUGUUAACAAGUAAAUUUGAUUCAAUUUUUAUGGACAAAAAUGAGACCUUUACCGAGUACUAUACACGUCUACAAGACGUUGUGAAUACAUGCGCUAAUUUGGGAGAGAAAAUCCCGGAUGCUAAGGUUGUUAGAAAGAUUCUUCGAACUCUUCCGGAACGCUUUCGGGCAAAGAUUGCUACGAUAGAAAUCGUUAAGCAUCCGGACGAGGUGAAAGUCGAAGAAUUAGUAGGCGCCCUACAAACGUAUGAGAUGACAUUUCCUACUAAUCAAUCUUUUGCCAAGUCUUCUUCUAAAAGUACAAGGGUUGUACUCAAAUCGACAAAGAAAGAAGACAACGACUCGAAUUCCGACGGAGAUGUUUUGCUUGCUGACUUCGAACAUCAAUUAGCGCUCCUCACGAAGAAAUUUCGCCUGAAUUUCCGAAAGAAGAACAAUUCGGACAAAUCUUCAUCUUCGAAGAUUAAAUCCUUUUCUAAGCAUUCUUCUAAUUCAAUAUCUAAGGAUAAAAACCUUGCAAAGCCUUUGAAAGAAAAAGAUGAUUUUGAAGGGAAAAUCCAAUGUUACAAGUGUAGAGGCCACGGUCAUAUUGCAAUGGAUUGUCCCUCUAAGAAAUCAUAUACAAAGAAGGCUUUGCAAGCUAAAACUUGGGAUGAUUCAUCUUCAAGUGAAUCAAGUUCAAGUGACGAAGGAAAGAAUGAACUUGCUUUGUUUACUAACACUUCUUUGCCUUCGUCUAACGUUGUUUGUUUAUCCUCUAUUGUUUCUAACUCUAGUAUUUCGCCUUCUUUGCAUGGGUCAUCGAGCGACAAAUUGCGAAAGCAAGGAGGAAUCAAACGACGAGGAUAUAGCGGAAGCGUAUCAUCAACUUCUUAUCGAUUCGAAAAAGAUGGCCAAACUUAAUAAGAAGUUGAGGCGUCGUUUGUUGGAUUUUGAAGAGGAAAACAACAACUUGAAGACAAUGAAUAAAGCUCUUGAAGAGGAGAAGGAAUCGAUUUCAAAGAAUAACUUAAUCUUCCAAGAGAAAUGUAANUUUAUCAAAAUUUUGAAAUCAAAUUUGAUCUCUUGGUGAUUAAUCUAUCUCGGUUGUGUGUGUUGGAUAUGAUAGAUGGAUAUUCGCUAAUAGACUAAAAUUUGUCAAAAUUAUUUUCAAUUGUGAGAUUGUCUAAUUUAGGGGGAGUUUGGAGUUAUUUAAAACAAAUAAACUCCUAUGUGUAAAAGAUAUGGAAAGAGUUACAUCCAAAAGGAGUGUGAGAACUACCACCACAUGUAGGAAAGAGCUAUCACCCCGGUCGUACAGCAAGUGUGUGAAGCUACCACAUGAAGAUUGAAUUGAAUAACCGAAAUGGUGUGAAAAAAAUUUGAAUAUUUUAGAUUUUUCGGAGUUAUAAGGUAUUAGGAUGAAAAGAUGCUCAAAGAGCCACCCCUGGUAUCAUAUUAGUUAAAUCUCUAUCUUGAACGGAUUGCGACAAAUUGGUGUCAAUUUUGCCGAAUUUUUAAAAAUUAUUUUUCGUGAACCGUUACAUCUUGAUGAUUUUGAAACAUUAGUUCAUUUUUUAUUUCCAAACUUUGAUGUUUCGAUGUAUUUUGAAAUCUUAUAAUAUUUUAUCUUCAUCAUAAUGAUUUUUGGAGUACAACUUUUAAUCUUUAUAAAAUUAACUUGAUUUUGAAGGAUUUUUUUAAAAAAAAUUUCAAAAUUUUCGAAAUUCGGCAAAGUGUAUUGGUCGCCACGGUUUUAAAACCGGUUACAGGUUUUCGAUUUUUCUCCAAACUUUAUCAAAACUUCUCCUUUCUCUUAAAACCUGUUACAAGGCACGUUUUUUUUUCUCGACGAUAAAAGUGGCAAAUGAAAAAGAAAAGAAAAUAAAAGGGUUAAUGGCUUCUGGAAGGAGCAGCAACAAUCCGAAGAGGCCACAGUUCUUCAAAGUGCUUCUUUCUGGUUCUUUCAAAAGUUGUGGAUUGUAUGAAGUCUUUGUUAAUUUAUCCUAUUCAUGCACUAACAUUAUUGGUACUCUCUCUGUUUUUGGUACUUUCUUUUGGCAAUUUUUGACAAAAUAGGGGAGAGAGAUGAGAUUUAAGAUUUUCAUGAACAAAGGGGAGAGAUUUGCAUGAACAAAGGGGGAGAGAUUUUCAUGAACAAAGGGGGAGAGAUUUUCAUUGUUUUUAGAGAAGUUCAUUUUUUUGACUAACUUUGUUCGAGGAGAAAGUAUUCUUUCUGCAGAUUCUCGAAGACUUAAAGACUCCUUGUGUUUAAGUCAUAGAGUUUGUUUAGGAGUUGCAAAAUUAUAAUUUUGUAUUUUCUUUGGAUUUUUCAACCGAGAAGUUCAUUGUUUUGGUGAUGGCAAUGAAUUUCAUUUUUUUUGUUUGGAGAGUUGAGCGUUGUGAGUAUUUUGAUGUAUUUUUGAGUUUUGUCACGAAAUUGCAAAAGGGGGAAAUUGUUACGGAUUUUAUGUUGUCAUAUUUCAUGAAGUUAGUCGGAGUCUUGAAUGUUUGAAGAAGAAGAGAUGAAGAUCGAAGACUCGAAGACUCAAAACAUGAAUGCACAAUGCUCGAUAAGUUUAAAUACCAUUGAUGAUGAUUUAUAAAUGUUUAAAAGUGUUUGGAAGACUUAGAUUGUAUUAAAAUGCUAAAUCUGAACAUUUUAGUGUUCUGGGACCGAUCCCUAAGAUGAGAGACCGGUCCCUGAGGGUCCUCUAUGCGUGGAAAGUUGAGGCAACCGGUCUCUGAAAAGUGAGACCGGUUCCAGAGCGAGAGACCGGUCUCUGGAAUGAGAGACCGGUUCCUGAAGCCUGUGUUUUCAGGCACGCAACGAGGGACCGGUCUCGCACUCGAGGGACCGGUCUCCCAAAGACCGGUCUCCUCGAGAAGAUCGGUCCCUGAGGACGACGUCAGUUUUUAAAAUUAGGUUUUUGUAAUCCUAGUCUAUUUCUAAGUCUUCUAAACCUAUAAAUAAGAUGUAGGGGUGUUUCUAAAACAGAACGGAGGAUAAAAUAUCUUUUUGAAACCCUAGAAACUUGUUGGGUGCAUUCUUUCUUCCCUCGAACAACAAGUUUCUAUCGGAUCAAUUCGUGUAACUCAAAAUUUCUCGUUCUUCAUAGGGAAUUGAUCCGGCUAUUGCUUAGAAAUAUCUUCUACGGUUUUUUAAUGAUUGUCUAAGCAAUAAAUCAUCAUCAAUCUUGGUAUUCUUGCUCCGGACGGAGUGUGCUCGUGGAUUCGAGUGGAUGUCGUGGAUUCGGCGUGAUCAAGGCUUCGUGGAUUCGAAGUGUGGACGUUUCGUGGAUUCGGGACGUGGCGUUCGUGGAUUCGGACGUAGGGCGUGGACAACCCGUUGGUGUGCGCGAGAUCCGGAGAAGAUAAAAGAAAGGUUUGAGUCCGUGGAAUCGGUAAAUCACCUUGUAAUCUUUUAUUCUUAGUGGAUUGUUAUCGCGUGUCGGUCCCGUAGUUUUUUACUCCUAGUUGGAGUUUUCCACGUAAAUCUCGGUGUGAUUUUUAUUUUUCCACAUUUACUGUUAUCGCAUUGAGAUUUGUGGUUUUCGGCUUUUA
rnacentral:lncRNA from 1 species